rnacentral:rRNA from 1 species
CCCUUAGAUGUUCUGGGCCGCACGCGCGCUACACUGAUGCAUUCAACGAGCCUAUCCUUGACCGACAGGUCCGGGUAAUCUUUGAAUCUGCAUCGUGACGGGGAUAGAUUAUUGCAAUUAUUAAUCUUCAACGAGGAAUGCCUAGUAGGCGCAAGUCAUCAGCUAGCGUCGAUUACGUCCCUGCCCUUUGUACACACCGCCCGUCGCUCCUACCGAUUGGGUGUGCUGGUGAAAUGUUCGGAUCGGCCGUUUGUCGCGGUUUCCGCGUCAUGUGGCUGAGAAGUUCAUUAAACCCUCCCACCUAGAGGAAGGAGAAGUCGUAACA